UGGUGGAGUGAUUUGUCUGCUUAAUUGCGAUAACGAACGAGACCUUAACCUGCUAAAUAGCCAGGCGAGCUUUUGCUCGUCGCCGGCUUCUUAGAGGGACUAUCGGCUCAAGCCGAUGGAAGUUUGAGGCAAUAACA
rnacentral:rRNA from 1 species